UACGGAGGGGGCUAGCGUUGUUCGGAAUUACUGGGCGUAAAGCGCACGUAGGCGGCUUUGUAAGUUAGAGGUGAAAGCCCGGGGCUCAACCCCGGAAUUGCCUUUAAGACUGCAUCGCUUGAAUCCGGGAGAGGUGAGUGGAAUUCCGAGUGUAGAGGUGAAAUUCGUAGAUAUCGGAAGGAACACCAGUGGCGAAAGCGGCUCCUGGUCCGAGCACCGACGUUCAGGCACGAAAGCGUGGGAGCAACAGG
rnacentral:rRNA from 1 species